rnacentral:rRNA from 1 species
GAGCGCUCGUAGCAAUACGGGAGCGGCAGACGGGAGAGUAACACGUGGGAACGUACCUUUCGGUUCGGAAUAACCCAGGGAAACUUGGGCUAAUACCGGAUACGUCCGUAAGGAGAAAGAUUUAUCGCCGAAAGAUCGGCCCGCGUCCGAUUAGCUUGUUGGUGGGGUAAUGGCUCACCAAGGCAACGAUCGGUAGCUGGUCUGAGAGGAUGAUCAGCCUCACUGGGACUGAGACACGGCCCAGACUCCUACGGGAGGCAGCAGUGGGGAAUAUUGGACAAUGGGCGCAAGCCUGAUCCAGCCAUGCCGCGUGGGUGAUGAAGGCCUUAGGGUUGUAAAGCCCUUUCGGCGGGGAAGAUAAUGACGGUACCCGCAGAAGAAGCCCCGGCUAACUUCGUG